AUUGAACGCUGGCGGCAGGCCUAACACAUGCAAGUCGAGCGAGCGGCGGACGGGUGAGUAAUGUCUGGGGAUCUGCCCGAUGGAGGGGGAUAACUACUGGAAACGGUGGCUAAUACCGCAUACUAUCGGAUGACCCCAGAGGGGAUUAGCUAGUAGGUGGGGUAAAGGCUCACCUAGGCGACGAUCCCUAGCUGGUCUGAGAGGAUGAUCAGCCACACUGGGACUGAGACACGGCCCAGACUCCUACGGGAGGCAGCAGUGGGGAAUAUUGCACAAUGGGCGCAAGCCUGAUGCAGCCAUGCCGCGUGUAUGAAGAAGGCCUGAGGGUUGUAAAGUACUUUCAGCGGGGAGGCGUUACCCGCAGAAGAAGCACCGGCUAACUCCGUGCCAGCAGCCGCGGUAAUUC
rnacentral:rRNA from 1 species